GUUAUACUCCCUCUGUCCUAAAAUUCUUGUCUUAGAUUCGUCUAGAUAUGGAUGUAUCUAAUACUAAACCAUGUAUCUAAGACAAGAUUUUUGGGACGGAGGGAGUACAAA
rnacentral:pre_miRNA from 1 species